ACUCAAAGGAAUUGACGGGGGCCCGCACAAGCGGAGGAACAUGUGGUUUAAUUCGAUGAUACGCGAGGAACCUUACCCGGGUUUGAACGCAGAGAGACAGGAGUGGAAACAUUCUUUUCAGCAAUGACUGUCUGCGAGGUGCUGCAUGGUUGUCGUCAGCUCGUGCCGUGAGGUGUCGGCUUAAGUGCCAUAACGAGCGCAACCCUUAUCUUUAGUUACUAACAGGUCAAGCUGAGGACUCUAGAGAGACUGCCAGCGUAAGCUGUGAGGAAGGUGGGGAUGACGUCAAAUCAGCACGGCCCUUACAUCCGGGGCGACACACGUGUUACAAUGGUAAGGACAAAGGGCAGCUACCGGGCGACCGGAUGCGAAUCUCUAAACCUUAUCUCAGUUCGGAUCGGAGUCUGCAACUCGACUCCGUGAAGCUGGAUUCGCUAGUAAUCGCGCAUCAGCCAUGGCGCGGUGAAUACGUUCCCGGGCCUUGUACACACCGCCCGU
rnacentral:rRNA from 1 species